ACUGUAAGACAGUAAGACUAUCGUUGCGAUCAACAAAGACCCGGAGGCUCCCAUUUUCCAGGUGGCUGACUACGGUUUGGUAGCUGAUCUUUUCAAGGCUGUUCCUGAGAUGACUGAAGCUUUGAGUAAGUGAUGAGAAACAGCUGUUACCCAGGACACUUCCCUGACGGUUACCACAGCAUCUAAAUAAAACUCUUGGACAUUUGAAUAAUUCCUGUUUUUUGUAAUUACCAUAACUCCAUAUGAAUCAGUGAAUAUUUAAGAACUUACCUCUGUGCCUUCUGUUGUGCACAUGUAGUAAUUUAUACUUUAUAUUAGCAUACAGUGAACUGGAUCAUGGGUGUUUUUAUCACGUCUACAGAUCUGUGACUAAUGUACAGUAGUUGGCUGUAAGAUCUUUCAGGUCUUUAUACACAUUCUUGAGAUAGCUAAUUGAAAAUAAAUGGACAAGUAGAAACAA